rnacentral:rRNA from 1 species
UACGUAGGUGGCAAGCGUUGUCCGGAAUUAUUGGGCGUAAAGCGCGCGCAGGCGGUUCUUUAAGUUGGGUGUCAAAGGCAGCGGCUCAACCGCUGUACGCACCCAAAACUGGAGAACUUGAGUGCAGGAGAGGAUAGUGGAAUUCCCGGUGUAGCGGUGGAAUGCGUAGAGAUCGGGAGGAACACCAGUGGCGAAGGCGACUGUCUGGCCUGUAACUGACGCUGAGGCGCGAAAGCGUGGGGAGCAAACA